AAUUGCUCGGCUGUUUCACAUAUUAGACCCUGCAACAACAAAACAGAUCACAUGUCUAUUACCACUGAGGAAAAAGAUAGUGGGAAGAAGCCCCUAUUUGCACUUUUUCGUUUAUACAUACAGUGCAGCAGCAGUGGCGUGAGACUCUGGGGUCUGGCUCUCUUUGUUUUCUGUUGCAUCAGGAACUUCCCCCACUGGAAAAGAUGAACUCACAGACUCUGCUUCAAGAGAUGGCUGUUCCAAUGCAAAUUGUGUCGAGCUCUGCGUCUGGUUUUCUUUGCUGAACUGUGUAGUUUUCACUUCUGAAAGAAGCUCCUCUUCUGUCAAAAAUGAAUUCACAGAUUCCGUCACAAGCAACAUAGAUAAAGGAC